UUCUCCAGCGAUUCCGACAUUAGAUCUACUCUACUGGGUUCAACUUCUCGGUAUUACAAAACCCUGACAAGCAUUUUGAGGAAGCAAAAUCAGUUAUAGAUAGUGUUUUAGAAUUCCUGAACACUAACGAAAACUCUGAAGAUAAUAUGAAGGAGAAUGAAAACCCUCAAAAGAAUAGACUAGCUUUGGCCCGGAAGCGUGCUAAGUUAUCAAUGAAGGCUGAUACAAGAUUCCUUUUCAGACCAACAAAUCCUCUCUUGUUAUGAAAAAUGCCGAGCUAAUUCAGAACAAGGCAUAAGUGAUAUCCGUGACGAGAGUGAUCGAUCUGGAAUGCGAAUAGUCAUUGAGCUUAAAAGGGGGGUCUGAUCCGGCCAUUGUUCUGAAUAAUGUAUAUCGUUUCAUUGCUGCAACAUGGUUGGAGGCGAAGAGCUGAUCGUGUUCUCUAUUUCAGUGAUAAGGGUAUUGUGUAUUCUGCACCAGCGUACAAAAUUCCGGAAUGUUCUCGUGCAGCUGCAGGUACACCUCUGAUACAGAACCCCAGUCAAAAUGGCUUUGAGGCGAAGGGGCGUCACGCUUUCGGAUACCCUUUGUUGCUUAUUCGGGUUCGAAGUAGAAAAUGAGAUCAGCUCUUCGCCUCUUGCGUUCUCUCUUGCGCUAUUUGAUGGAAUGUUAUGGUCAGACCGAAUCCCUUUUCCCUCAGAAUUCAUACAAUGUGCUCUGUCGAAAUUUUGAUUCGGGAUUGGCAAAAUGUCGUCACUUGGAGAGGGUAAAAUUGUUGGCUUAUAGCCCUCUGGCAAUGGGUUUGCUUUCGGGGAAGUAUCUGUUACCUGAUGGUGGUGCAGCCGAUGCUCGUUUGAAUCUCUUCAGAGGCAGGUAUUCGGAAGGGGAAUCCAGAUACAACUUAUCAAAUCCCACCAUUAGAGAAGCUAUUAAAGCAUACAUUUCCAUUGCAGAACGUUAUGAUAUCCAUCGGGUAUCUCUUGCAAUAGGUUGUUGAUGGUAUUCGGAAGGUAUGCCCCGAAGCUGGUGCGCUGAUCCAUUUUCUGGCUUUAAUGGUAAUUUUCAAGGGAAAAGCUCACUCCUUUGUGACCAAAAAUUUGUUAUUUUAAUAUACCUGUAUAUCUUGUACUGUUAUGAAACCGAAAUCAGAUCUCAUAUGAGCUUUUUCAAGAGCUUCUUCUGUUUACUUUGGAGCUUGUUUUUUUUAAUCCGAAAUAUAUUUUCCACUCA